CACGGGACGGGACGGGACGCCCGGACGCGACAGGCCGCGGCCUGCGGGCGGGAGAAUCGCGGCCUGGGCCGGCCGGGGCGGGCGGUGGGGCCGGGGCGCCGGGUGCCGCAGGGUCCCCGCGGCUUUCCGCGGGGCAGCGCCGUGCUGCCGCUCCGCAGGGCCCGGCCGAGCCCCGCGGGAGCUUCCCCGGGCCCCGCGGGUGCGGGCCCAGCCCGGCCGGGCAGCGGCUGCAGCGCCUCGGAGCGAGCGCGGUGCUGUGCCCGUGCCCGGCUCGGCGGCGGUGUCACGGCGCGGGGCACAUCGCGCUGGAAGUGCUGUGUCAUUGUGCGAGAGGGCUGGGAACACGUGCGGGAGAAGUUGACUGCUUUUUGAGACUGGAGAUGAGAAUCGCAAGGCAGAGGAGGGACGAGGGCCGGAAACUUGAGCGUAAGAUUGGACUGGUUUAGAUGAAGAUGAAGAUGCACAUGUCUGGGAAGACAACUGGGAUGAUGACAAUGUAGAAGAUGAUUUCUCCAAUCAGUUAAGAGCUGAAUUAGAAAAACAUGGAUACAAGAUGGAAACGUCAUAGCUUUUGCAGAAUAUGGAGUGGUUUAACACUGAACUGUGGAUAGACUUUAUUG